rnacentral:tRNA from 1 species
GGGCUGGGGGUCAGUGGUAGAACGCUCACCUAGCACAUGUGAGGCCCUGGGUUCGAUCCUCAACACCACA